GUGUGACGUCAUCGCAGGUCCUGCAGCCCCAGGAGGUGAGAUCUGCAGUAUUUAGGUUGGCGUUAGUGCACUUUUGAGUUGGAUUUUACGGAGACUACAACAUUACAAAGAACUACAUUUUUAUUCAAGAGUUGUCUUGGAUUGAGUUUGGCCAGAUUGAAAAUGCCAGCUUGCCUUAUAAAUCAUUGUCUGAGCAAAAGUGGAAAAAAGGGGCAAGAUGAGGACAUACAACUCCACCGUUUUCCGAAAGACCUUUCCAGGAUUACAUUGUGGUUGGAGAAUAUGAAUCAGUCUUUUGACAAUAUUCACAGUUUGGCUGAAAGAAUUUUGGAAGGAGCACUUAAAAGCAAAUAUAGAAUUUGCUCAUUGCAUUUUUCAGAUGAUUCAUAUAUUAUAGAUGCAAGAGGCAGAACUCUGAGAGCAGAUGCUGUUCCUACAAUAUUCCCACUGACCGAUGACGGUAAAAAAGUAAUACAGGAAAAUUUACAGAAGCUCCGCCCAUCGACACGAAAACGACAGUUAAAACAAUUGAACCCUGAGUUUGUCGUAGAAGAAAAUCUCUCCAGUGCACCAGAGGACGUAUCUGAAGACCCAACCGUUGUAAAAUUCUGCGAAAUUGGGACACAAACUGACUUGUCACUUUUGAACAUGCUUAUUACAAUAAAAAAUGGUGAGGCUAUCUGUCGGGAUCUUCACACCAAAAAUCAAACCCCUGGAAAGUACAUAACCAUUGACUAAUAAUAUAAAAAUUUUGUCUGAACAUGGGUGCAAGAAAUUAUCGCGCUACAAAUGUCAUUGUGUAGGACUAACCUAAUGCUGAAAUAAUAAAAGGACUUACAGAAUCAGGUGGUGCCGCGGUGGCUGCUUCCAUCCCCUCGAAGUCAGACAUGGUUUGGAUAUUAAUCCCUGAGAAAUCCUAGGUUGUACAAGGUUGAGAGUUACCAAAAAAUAAAUACAUUUCAAUAUACAUUUUGAGAUAUCCAGAUUUAAAUUAACCGUUUUUAAAUUUUAACAAAAUAGGCAAUUGUACUCAAAUCUUAUUUUUGUGUGCUUCAUCUUAGUAUGUCGACAUCAA